rnacentral:tRNA from 1 species
GCCAAUGUAGCUCAAUGGUAGAGCAAGUGAUUUGUAAUCACUAGGUUGGGGGUUCGAUUCCCUUCAUUGGCUCCA